rnacentral:rRNA from 1 species
GAUGAACGCUGGCGGCGUGCCUAAUACAUGCAAGUCGAGCGAACGGACGAGAAGCUUGCUUUUCUGAUGUUAGCGGCGGACGGGUGAGUAACACGUGGAUAACCUACCUAUAAGACUGGGAUAACUUCGGGAAACCGGAGCUAAUACCGGAUAAUAUUUUGAACCGCAUGGUUCAAAAGUGAAAGACGGUCUUGCUGUCACUUAUAGAUGGAUCCGCGCUGCAUUAGCUAGUUGGUAAGGUAACGGCUUACCAAGGCAACGAUGCAUAGCCGACCUGAGAGGAUGAUCGGCCACACUGGAACUGAGACACGGUCCAGACUCCUACGGGAGGCAGCAGUAGGGAAUCUUCCGCAAUGGGUGAAAGCCUGACGGAGCAACGCCGCGUGAGUGAUGAAGGUCUUCGGAUCGUAAAACUCUGUUAUUAGGGAAGAACAUAUGUGUAAGUAACUGUGCACAUCUUGACGGUACCUAAUCAGAAAGCCACGGCUAACUACGUG